rnacentral:ribozyme from 12 species
AAGUAAACAAUAGAGGAAAAAAGAAAAAUGAAGAAAUGGAGAAAAUGUUUUACUUCUUUUGAUGUUGCUUGUGAGUGCAUGUACAUG